GCUUGUCUCAAAGAUUAAGCCAUGCAUGUCUAAGUAUAAACUGCUUUAUACUGUGAAACUGCGAAUGGCUCAUUAUAUCAGUUAUAGUUUAUUUGAUGGUCCUUGCUACUUGGAUAACCGUAGUAAUUCUAGAGCUAAUACAUGCAUCAAGCCCCGACUUCUGGAAGGGGUGUAUUUAUUAGAUGGAAACCAAUGCAGGGCAACCUGGAAUAUGGUGAUUCAUAAUAACUCGCGGAUCGGUUUACCGAUGCAUCAUUCAAGUUUCUGCCCUAUCAGCUUUGGAUGGUAGGGUAUUGGCCUACCAUGGCUUUAACGGGUAACGGAGAAUUAGGGUUCGAUUCCGGAGAGGGAGCCUGAGAAAUGGCUACCACAUCCAAGGAAGGCAGCAGG
rnacentral:rRNA from 1 species